AACCUCUACACUGUACGAAAGUAUGAUAGGGGAACUUCGAGUGCUAGUUUUCUAGCUUUUGCUAACUGUAAAAAGGUUGGCGAAUAAAUGGGGGGCAAGAUACGUGCCAGCCGCCGCGGUAAUACGUACCCCAUAAGUGGUAUCCAGCAUUAUUGGGCCUAAAGCGUCCGUAGCCGGUCAAGUAAGUCUUUUGUGAAAUCAAUCAGCUCAACUGAUUGAAUUGCCAAAGAUACUGCUCGACUCGAGGCCGGGAGAAGUCAAGGGAAUUCCCGAGGUAGCAGUGAAAUGCAGUGAUGUCGGGAGGACCCCCAGUAGCGAAGGCGCUUGACUAGAACGGACCUGACGGUGAGGGACGAAAGCUGAGGGAGCGACCCGG
rnacentral:rRNA from 1 species